rnacentral:rRNA from 1 species
UGGGGAAUAUUGGACAAUGGGCGCAAGCCUGAUCCAGCAAUGCCGCGUGUGUGAAGAAGGUUUUCGGAUUGUAAAGCACUUUCAGCGGGGACGAUGAUGACGGUACCCGCAGAAGAAGCCCCGGCUAACUUCGUGCCAGCAGCCGCGGUAAUACGAAGGGGGCAAGCGUUGCUCGGAAUGACUGGGCGUAAAGGGCGCGUAGGCGGUUGACGCAGUCAGAUGUGAAAUUCCUGGGCUUAACCUGGGGGCUGCAUUUGAUACGUGGCGACUAGAGUGUGAGAGAGGGUUGUGGAAUUCCCAGUGUAGAGGUGAAAUUCGUAGAUAUUGGGAAGAACACCGGUGGCGAAGGCGGCAACCUGGCUCAUGACUACCG